rnacentral:rRNA from 1 species
UGCCAGCAGCCGCGGUAACACGGGGGGCGCAAGCGUUAUUCGGAAUUAUUGGGCGUAAAGGGCGCGUAGGCGGUCUUAUCGGUCAGAUGUGAAAGCCCGGGGCUCAACCCCGGACGUGCAUUUGAAACAGUAAGACUUGAGUACGGGAGAGGAGAGAGGAAUUCCUGGUGUAGAGGUGAAAUUCGUAGAUAUCAGGAGGAACACCGAUGGCGAAGGCAUUCUGCUGGUCAUUACCUGACGCUGAGAGACCAAAGCGCGGGGAGCGAACGGCAUUAGCUA